rnacentral:rRNA from 1 species
UGUCUUGUAAUUGGAAUGAUGGUGACCCAAACCCUCACCAGAGUAGCAAUUGGAGGGCAAGUCUGGUGCCAGCAGCCGCGGUAAUUCCAGCUCCAAUAGCGUAUAUUAAACUUGUUGCAGUUAAAAAGCUCGUAGUUGUAUUUUUGCGUUGACGGUUUGACCAUUUGGUUGGUUAUUUCGUUUUCGCUUUUGGGAAUUUCCCUUUUUACUUUGAGAAAAUUAGAGUGUUUCAAGCAGACUUUUGUCUUGAAUACUUCAGCAUGGAAUAAUAGAGUAGGACUUUGGUUCUAUUUUGUUGGUUAUUGAACCUUAGUAAUGGUUAAUAGGAACGGUUGGGGGCAUUCGUAUUUAACUGUCAGAGGUGAAAUUCUUAGAUUUGUUAAAGACGAACUACUGCGAAAGCAUUUGCCAAGGACGUUUCCAUUAAUCAAGAACGAAAGUUAGGGGAUCGAAGACGAUCAGAUACCGUCGUAGUCCUAACCAUAAACUAA